rnacentral:rRNA from 1 species
AGCCUAGCGAUUGUAAACUUAGUGGCGGACGGGUGAGUAACGCGUGGGUAACCUGCCUUAUACCGGGGGAUAACACUUAGAAAUAGGUGCUAAUACCGCAUAAGCGCACGAGGCUGCAUGGCCUAGUGUGAAAAACUCCGGUGGUAUAAGAUGGACCCGCGUCUGAUUAGCUAGUUGGUGAGGUAACGGCCCACCAAGGCGACGAUCAGUAGCCGGCCUGAGAGGGUGAACGGCCACAUUGGGACUGAGACACGGCCCAAACUCCUACGGGAGGCAGCAGUGGGGAAUAUUGGACAAUGGGGGAAACCCUGAUCCAGCGACGCCGCGUGAGUGAAGAAGUAUUUCGGUAUGUAAAGCUCUAUCAGCAGGGAAGAUAAUGACGGUACCUGACUAAGAAGCCCCGGCUAACUACGUGCCAGCAGCCGCGGUAAUACGUAGGGGGCAAGCGUUAUCCGGAUUUACUGGGUGUAAAGGGAGCGUAGACGGCAUGGCAAGUCUGAUGUGAAAACCCGGGGCUCAACCCCGGGAUUGCAUUGGAAACUGUCAAGCUAGAGUGCAGGAGAGGUAAGUGGAAUUCCUAGUGUAGCGGUGAAAUGCGUAGAUAUUAGGAGGAACACCAGUGGCGAAGGCGGCUUACUGGACUGUAACUGACGUUGAGGCUCGAAAGCGUGGGGAGCAAA